rnacentral:snoRNA from 1 species
CUGCAAUGAUGACCUUCUUAGGACACCUUUCGAUUAAUCGUGAAAAGAAUUUUUUUAGUCUGAGCUGC